GUGGGGAAUCUUAGACAAUGGGCGCAAGCCUGAUCUAGCCAUGCCGCGUGAGCGAUGAAGGCCUUAGGGUUGUAAAGCUCUUUCAGGGGGGAAGAUAAUGACGGUACCCCCAGAAGAAGCCCCGGCUAACUCCGUGCCAGCAGCCGCGGUAAUACGGAGGGGGCUAGCGUUGUUCGGAAUUACUGGGCGUAAAGCGCACGUAGGCGGACCAGAAAGUCAGGGGUGAAAUCCCGGGGCUCAACCCCGGAACUGCCUUUGAAACUCCUGGUCUUGAGGUCGAGAGAGGUGAGUGGAAUUCCGAGUGUAGAGGUGAAAUUCGUAGAUAUUCGGAGGAACACCAGUGGCGAAGGCGGCUCACUGGCUCGAUACUGACGCUGAGGUGCGAAAGCGUGGGGAGCAAACAGGAUUAGAAACCCUUGUAGUCC
rnacentral:rRNA from 1 species